GGGGUUGUCCGAGAGGUUCGGUCCGAUGCCUUGCAAGCAUCCGGGUGAGGGUGCGACUCCCUCCAGCUCCACCA
rnacentral:tRNA from 1 species